UACGUAGGGUGCAAGCGUUGUCCGGAAUUAUUGGGCGUAAAGAGCUCGUAGGCGGUCUGUCGCGUCUGCUGUGAAAACUCAGGGCUUAACCCUGAGCUUGCAGCGGGUACGGGCAGACUAGAGUGCGGUAGGGGAGACUGGAAUUCCUGGUGUAGCGGUGAAAUGCGCAGAUAUCAGGAGGAACACCGGUGGCGAAGGCGGCAUCCUGGACCAACACUGACGCUGAGGAGCGAAAGCCAGGGGAGCAAACGGG
rnacentral:rRNA from 1 species